rnacentral:rRNA from 1 species
GACGAACGCUGGCGGCGUGCUUAACACAUGCAAGUCGAACGAAGUGGCGAACGGGUGAGUAAUACGUGGGUAACCUGCCCUCCUUUUUGGGAUAAGCCUUGGAAACGGGGUCUAAUACCGAAUAACGGGGGGUGGGCUCGCGGCGUAUCAGCUUGUUGGUGGGGUGAUGGCCUACAAAGGCGGUGACGGGUAGCCGGUCUGAGAGGGUGACCGGCCACAUUGGGACUGAGAUACGGCCCAGACUCCUACGGGAGGCAGCAGUGGGGAAUAUUGGACAAUGGGCGAAAGCCUGAUGCAGCCAUGCCGCGUGUAUGAAGAAGGCCUUCGGGUUGUAAAGUACUUUCAGCGAGGAGGCGUUACUCGCAGAAGAAGCACCGGCUAACUCCGUGCCAGAAGCCGCGGUAAUAC